rnacentral:ncRNA from 1 species
UUUGGUGUUGUGUUACAAUAUCUGUUAACACACAAGAGGGAAGCCGGUUAGAAUCCGGAACAGUGCCCGCUACUGUGAUGCCCGGUUCUUCAAAAGAAGAAUCAAAGAAUAGAUUCUUACACCACUGUCUAACCACGGACGGGAAGGUAUCAUUCUUAGGCGUAGUCAGGAGACCUGCCAAGACAUAU